GAAUAUUGGACAAUGGGGGGAACCCUGAUCCAGCCAUGCCGCGCGUGUGAAGAAGGCCUUUUGGUUGUAAAGCACUCUAAGCGAGGAGGAGGCUACUCUAGUUAAUACCUAGAGAUAGUGGACGGUACUCGCACAGUAAGCACCGGCUAACUCUGUCCCAGCACCCGCGGUAAUACAGAGGGUGAAAGCGUUAAUCGGAUUUACUGGGCGUAAAGGGCGCGUAGGUGGCCAAUUAAGUCAAAUGUGAAAUCCCCGAGCUUAACUUGGGAAUUGCAUUCGAUACUGGUUGGCUAGAGUAUGGGAGAGGAUGGUAGAAUUCCAGGUGUAGCGGUGAAAUGCGUAGAGAUCUGGAGGAAUACCGAUGGCGAAGGCAGCCAUCUGGCCUAAUACUGACACUGAGGUGCGAAAGCAUGGGGAGCAAAC
rnacentral:rRNA from 1 species